rnacentral:rRNA from 1 species
UGAGUAACCUGCCCUUAACUCUGGGAUAAGCCUGGGAAACUGGGUCUAAUACCGGAUAUGACUCCUCAUCGCAUGGUGGGGGGUGGAAAGCUUUAUUGUGGUUUUGGAUGGACUCGCGGCUUAUCAGCUUGUUGGUGAGGUAAUGGCUCACCAAGGCGACGACGGGUAGCCGGCCUGAGAGGGUGACCGGCCACACUGGGACUGAGACACGGCCCAGACUCCUACGGGAGGCAG